GCAUUGGUGGUAUAGUGGUGAGCAUAGCUGCCUUCCAAGCAGUUGUCCUGGGUUUGAUUCCCAGCCAAGACA
rnacentral:tRNA from 1 species